CCUACGGGGGGCAGCAGUGAGGAAUAUUGGUCAAGGGGCGCGAGCCUGAACCAGCCAAGUAGCGUGAAGGAUGACUGCCCUACGGGUUGUAAACUUCUUUUAUAAAGGAAUAAAGUGAGGCACGUGUGCCGUGUUGUAUGUACUUUAUGAAUAAGGAUCGGCUAACUCCGUGCCAGCAGCCGCGGUAAUACGGAGGAUCCGAGCGUUAUCCGGAUUUAUUGGGUUUCAAGGGAGCGUAGAGGGGUUGUUAAGUCAGUUGGGAAAGUUGGCGGCUCAACCGUAAAAUGGCAUUUGAUCCUGGCAGUCUUGCGUACAGUUGCGGUAGCCUGCCUUCGUGUUGUAGCGGUGCACUUCUUAGCUAUCAC
rnacentral:rRNA from 1 species